rnacentral:snoRNA from 1 species
CCUGCCCCUGGGAGCUUUGCAGCUGUGUCACAAGUGCGUCAGCAGGUGGCAGCAAGGAGAGAGGUCAUGUCUGUGCUCCAUGUUCUGACCUAUGAAUAUCUGAAUGAUUAGCAGCCUAAACUU